AUGGACCAGUUGAUGGAGGAGUGUCGCUCCUUGAAGGACGAGUGUCUGACUCUAAAGAACGACAACAAGCAGCUCUCUGAGAAACUGGAGAUGCUGGAGCAGCAGCGAGCCAGCUCAGCUGAUUCAUGCCUGGCACUGAAACUAGAGCAGAAUGAUGGAGAAAAUGACACAGAAAAAGAUGUAGAGAAGGAGGUGAUUGCUGAGGGUUUUGUCAGCACGUUGAAAGUAGGAGGUGGGGAAUGGGUGGACGCUUAUACCCAAAAGAACAUCUCGUUUGAGGGCAAACCCAUCACCCCGACGGGCAUGAGUGGAGGGUUUUCAGAGGUGUUCUCCCUUAGAGACCAGCUGAAACAGGCCGAGGAGAAAGCAUCACAGGUCCAGAGAGAGUGUGAGGGACUAAAAGGAGAGCUUGUGGAACUGCAGGGGCUGUAUGAGAGCAGCCAGAGGGAGCGGGCGGAGCUAGAGGCGGAGCUUCAGCGCUGUAGGGCGGAGCUUGAUCGGCUGGCUGGGAGGAAGGCUCAGGUGAGGGGUCUUAAGGGGGUCAGAUAUCAGUCAUGGCGCACUGCUUUCUUCCAAAUCCACAAGAGCCAUCACUCUAGAACUUCAGACAGUGAACGUGUGAACUUCCUAGACCUCCAAUAAAUCACCGUACUGUUCACAUGCUGAAAACAAACAGACAUUACUCACACAGCAAGUAGGGCGAAAUAUUAUCAACAGAAUGACACCAUGACUCCAUUGAACUACAUGUUUGUCAGCGUUUGAAAAUGCUCUGUACAUGACUAACGUUUUGCAUGUGGGGUCAACCACCGCUGAAGCAACCAUCUGUUCAACAGCAGUACCUGUCUUUCAAAGUGCAUCCUGUCUUACUAAACCACUCCGCCAUUUUCGGUCGAGUGUAUGUGUUUCACUUUGGGUUGCUUUUUGCCCUGUCACACACCUUGAUUCUGGGCUAUGUGUGUGUUUUCACAUCUUGUGUUUGUCAAACCUUUACCAGCUAAUGUGUCUAGCUAGUUUUCUUGAUCCAGUUUUUGUGUGUGUACAAUGUGCACUGACAUAGAGGUCUUUCUAACCCCUGUACUGUCUAACAACAAGCUCUUAGAAUAAGUUUUUCCAAGCCACAGAAAUAAUAACUUCUCAAGGUUUUUUCCUAUCAAAGAGUCUGUCCAGUCUGAGUACCCUGUCCCAUGUCAAUCAUCCGUCCUUCAUAGUUGUACUUUAAUUGUGUGGUUAACCCCUCACUCACACCGUUCUGCCGCCUACAAUUACCAUGAUUCCUUAAAGAAAUGUUCUGGGUUAAAUACAAAUGGAACUCUAUCGACAGAAUCUGUAAUAUGGUAAAAAAUGUUUAGGGAAAAGUCACUUUGUUUUAACAAACAUUUUAAUUUAUGAACUGAACUACCUAUAAAAGAAAAACAAAGAUCCACCAAUCAGAGAAGUUGCUUUGCAAUGUAAAUUUUCCCAUGAUUUAUGGGAAGUGUAGUUUAUUACUCCUGAAUGACUUCAAGUACAUAUUCCAUGGUUGUACUCUUUUUUUUGACUUGUCCUUCACUUUGUAAAAACACAGAUAGUUGAUAGACGGGCUUACAGUACAAGCAGAUGAGGGAAAGACACAAUGCUCUCUCUUAACAUGUUUGGUUUGUUUGUUUAUACAAACUGAAGGAUGAAUCUGAAUUAUUUUCUGUGGCAUUCAACAACAUGUCCCAGAUACUGUCGACAGAUUUAACCCGGUACAUUGGUUUAAUACAGUGGGCUGGCUGUGCAGUGUGGGCAAGGAUCUUUAAAUGCCAAGAUGGCGACCUUAGCUCUGUGUUUAUCAGCCGGAGGGUCAAAACGAGCACAAGGUUUCCAUUUUGUGUUUAACCAUCUUUGCUGUGUAUCUAAUCUCGGUGUAUUUUCCUGUCUCCCUGCUCCCCCGUGGUCUUUCAUUGCUUCGUUCUGUUGCUUUCUAACCACCGAACACCUACAUGAACAUACCAUAAACACCCAUACGCUCACCACGCACACUGAACUAUAUCAAAUUCCAAACAAAUUUGAUGAUUCCUGAUAAACUGCUGGCAUAUCUAUCUAUCUAUCUAUCUAUCUAUCUAUCUAUCUAUCUAUCUAUCUAUCUAUCUAUCUAUCUAUCUAUCUAUCUAUCUAUCUGUGUUCUCUCCCUUUCAUCCUCACACUCUUCAUUCUUUCUCUCUAUUACUUUUCUUAUUAUUUUCCAUGUUUUAUUUACUUGUAUUUCCACAUGUGCACAAACCUCCCAUGUGUAAUCAUGAUCUUAUUUUGAGUGUCUGUCAUUUUUUCUUUUUUUUUCUCUCACCACCUCUUCCUCCUCUUCCUCUCUCCAUCCCUGCACCCCCCUGUGUUUUUCCUCAGAGCUCCACUCCUUCGUCUGAGUGCCCUAUUCUCUCCAUACCCUUCAUAGGAAUGGUUGUAAUAAUGGGCCUGAUAUGGUGCUGCUGGAAGGAGCUCUUGUCCUAAAGGGGGAAGGUAUGGCUUUGCCUUUUCUUUCUGUAAGAGUCCAGAGAUGAGCAUUUUGUCCCUCCUGUAUUGUGAAACUCAUCUUUUUAUAAGCCAUAAUGAAUGGUCAUAACUGUCAUGCUAAACAAGCCUGUUUGCCCAAUGGACACAGUGCCUGAUUCCUUACGAGGGCCUUUUAUGGAUGUGCACAUUGUUUCACAAACAACGUUAACUACUCUGAAAAACCAUAUAGUUGCAUUUACUUAAAACCUCCCUAAACAAAACAGAAACCCUCAUUCAGGAUGGGGUACGUUAAAAAUGGGUCAAUUCUUUGAGUAAACGUAGGCCUGUAUACAGAAAAUGCAUGAAAAAAAAACAUCCCGUUCCCAAAAGGAGUUGACUUGUUUUUAGAACAUUGCCAAAGUAGAUUGUGCUUUUAUAGUUUGGACAGAAGAAUUUCUGCAUCAAAGACAUUUCUUAUGUUCUUCAGUUUGGCACCAUCAAAAAUCAAGUCAUAUUCAGACAUCCUCUGAGAUUUCCGAAUGUUAUUAUCCCAGCCAAAUGCAUGACACAGCUAUGAUUUCAACAGUUCUGCUGCCCAGCGGGGCCGACUGAAGCCACACGCACACACACUUACACAGUUCUUUGAUUCUGCUGGACAGUCAUGCGAUUUCCACUGCCAGUCUCACAACACCAGAUGGAGAGAGAGUAAUAGAGUAUGUAAAAGAGAACGUGUGCGACAGUGAUUGGAGUAUUUACUGGGUCAUUGCUCUUGGCUUUGUAUCUCUCCACAUUUCUGGAUGGGUAUAUUUAGCUCUCAAGUCCGGUGCUAUUACAGAAGAUGACUGGAAAUAAACAACAAGUCCUCAGAAGGUUCAUUAAAACCACAUCAGCUCUGUGGCUUUAUUCACUGUCUUCUAGCCAGAGAAAAAUUGUGAAACUCUGGGGUGUUGCAUAAACUUAGCCACCAUGUUAAGAUUGUGUCUUAAGAACUAGUUUGACCAACUAGCAGUUGCCAAGGGGUAAUCAGUCUUACUUUUCCAAUACAAAUAAUAACAAUCUACCUUUUUAACCUGAGACUGCAA
rnacentral:lncRNA from 1 species